rnacentral:rRNA from 1 species
AGUGAACGCUGGCGGUAGGCCUAACACAUGCAAGUCGAACGGCAGCACAGUAAGAGCUUGCUCUUACGGGUGGCGAGUGGCGGACGGGUGAGGAAUACAUCGGAAUCUACUUUUUCGUGGGAGAUAACGUAGGGAAACUUACGCUAAUACCGCAUACGACCUACGGGUGAAAGCAGGGGAUCUUCGGACCUUGCGCGAUUGAAUGAGCCGAUGUCGGAUUAGCUAGUUGGCGGGGUAAAGGCCCACCAAGGCGACGAUCCGUAGCUGGUCUGAGAGGAUGAUCAGCCACACUGGAACUGAGACACGGUCCAGACUCCUACGGGAGGCAGCAGUGGGGAAUAUUGGACAAUGGGCGCAAGCCUGAUCCAGCCAUACCGCGUGGGUGAAGAAGGCCUUCGGGUUGUAAAGCCCUUUUGUUGGGAAAGAAAAGCAGCAGGUUAAUACCCCGCUGUUCUGACGGUACCCAAGGAAUAAGCACCGGCUAACUUCGUG